CCGGCGCACGGGUGAGUAACACGUAUGGAACCUGCCCGCAGCAGGGGGAUAAGCGGAAGAAAUUCCGUCUAAUACCGCGUAACACCGCAGAGGGGCAUCCCUCGGCGGUUAAAGAUUCAUCGGCUGCGGAUGGCCAUGCGGCGCAUUAGCUAGUCGGCGGGGUAACGGCCCACCGAGACGACGAUGCGUAGGGGUUCUGAGAGGAAGGUCCCCCACACUGGUACUGAGACACGGACCAGACUCCUACGGAAGGCAGCAG
rnacentral:rRNA from 1 species